GUUUGUGAUGUCACCAUCCCCAAGAUGGGCAGGUGCAAGUUAAGCUGACCAAGAGACUGGCGCCUUGAUGUUGUCUCCUCAUUGAUGCUGGACAGAAAGUUUUGGGAGAUCCGCAGAGCGUCCUGCAGGAGCGAGUGAUCCGGGUGGCUGAGACCGUGACCCCGAUGGGACAACUCAUGCUGUAUUUGGUCUGAAAGCUGUGUUGGGAACAAGAGGCGCAACCAGGAAAUGUGUUUCCAGAAUAAAGAAGACACUAUGGCUGGUUUCCACCUUGCUCUGGUAGAUUUUGAAGAAGAGAUUUGAGAUUGGAAGACGAGGCAGUCUGAGGAAGCAUUUUGACAGGCACCCGGUGUAGUCUUCUGCUGCUGUAGCCCAUCCACCUCAAGGCUUGACGUGUUGUGCAUUCAGAGAA